rnacentral:tRNA from 26 species
GGGGCUGUAGCUCAGCUGGGAGAGCGGCGGCUUUGCAAGCCGUAGGUCGUCGGUUCGAUCCCGACCAGCUCCACCA